CCACAGCUACAACCGCUCGAUUCAAGCUGAUUAAGUCCCGUUUUUCGGGCGCUUCGUUUCGGCGAGUCUAAGCAAAAUU
rfam:Lactobacillus parafarraginis F0439 genomic scaffold Scfld1857, whole genome shotgun sequence.